GUAUUUAAAUUGAUUCACUGCUCACCAUUGGUCUCAUCACAGUUUCUACAUCAUUUAUUGCCCACUUUCUAUCAUUAAGUACAAGGAGGGUCCAUAGUACUCCUAUUCCAUGAAUUCUUUCCUAUGGAAAGUUUUCAGUUGAUUGUCUGCCUCCAAGAUUAGACUGAGUGGGCAUUGUUCUUAGGUCUUAUUUUACCUCGUUUUUAGAGGUGACGAACUGGUUACCAACCAGCCAGGCCAGCUAACUUUGGCAGAGGUCAUCGAGAGGACAUGACCGCGGGUCCACCCUUAAGCUGGACGCGGGCAACCAGAGGCUCCUCCCUUGUCUUUGGAAUGUACAUUCUGCCCACCAUUAUCACACUGUUUCAAGGACGUACGCUUGAGAGAGUGUGUUGCUGUUGAGGCUAUUUGGUCUGAAUACGUGACUAUAGCCGGUUAAGGCCUCUGUAUAAACUUAAGAUUCUGACAGCAGGUGCAGAGAUGUACACGGCUUCUCUUGCAGUUACUGAAGACAAGUCUUGUAAAAUCCUUCCUUUUCUGAUUCUUUGGCUUGGUUGUUGUCUUUCGGCUCGACACCCACCAAGAGGCGAACCCAGUUUCAGAUAACAGAGCUCUGCAUGUGACAUCUCCUAUCAUGCAGGACCUUUGAUGCACAGGUUACAUUUCUGUGUAGUAAUAUCACCAGGCUUAUGCUGACCACAAAUGCUACUUUUCAAUAAGAAGCUUCUCCUGACUCCAAGCAAGGCCCCUAUCCCUUUCCUUGGAUCAUAUAAGGUUCAUGCUGCCUCACUUAAUUUCAUGUCUGUGUGGAUUCCAGGCCAAAUUAGGAAUCUAAGUGCUCCUUCUUACCAUCUCCUCUAAGCCUUCUGAACUAGGUGUCAAGAUCAGAGAGAAUCUCAUAGGAUUCAUUCACUUCUUCGAAUGUGGUUUAAAGGACAAGUGAAUCCUGCAACAGCUGAUCUUUAAGGAAGACUUGUCUUUUUCAAAUGAAGAAAAGUCACAUAAGGACACAGGGAGAAGUCAGCUGUCUGCAAGCCAGGAAGAGCUUCACUAGACACUAACCCUGAUGGCACCUUGAUCUUGAACUUCCAGCCCCCAGAACUUGGAGGGAAACUUGGCUUCAGAUUAUUCCACUAAUUCAAAGAGGAUGUCUUCACUGCUAAGAGAAACAAUGAGCUAUGUUAUUCACAUUCCCAAAUUUAUUGGACUUUUCUCUGGCAUCCAUCUCUACAUCACUCACGGCUAACAGAGGGAGCGAUGAGGUAACACUAGCACCUUUUAUCCAUAUUUACUGGUUCAUAGAGAACCUACUGGUGUCUCUCCCUCAGAAAAUUUUAUUUUUUCAUAUUUUGCUCUAACCAUCUAUGUCUCUGAAGAAAGAAAAAGACAUUGGGAAAAAAGCUAUAGUGUGGAAAAUUUCUUUUAGAAACCACACAUGUCAAAAUAUGAUUAUCUUUAGAUUGGCAUAUGUGUAUUAAAGAAAGUUUUUUAAGGUUUUAACCUUUUGCUUUUCAUUGGUUUGUUUGGAAUUUUGAGGGAUUUGGGUCAGCAACUGCAUAAAACCCAGCUGAGAUAGAAUGGUUCUCAAAAAUGAUUAAAUUAUACUACGUCCUUUCUUAGUUUUAAUCAUUUCUAUUAAUCAUUGAUUCAUUUAGUUCAUUUUGUUAUUAUUGAAUUGGGAUUUCAAGUAUAGAGCUUUUCAUCUUUAACUUUAUUCUUCCUUCUGAGGUUGAAAAACAUAUGCAUUUGUGUGUAUAUACUUACAUACAUGUAGAGAUUAAAUAGAAUAUGCAUAUAACAAUUUUCCACUUAGAGUCAGUUAUUCUAAUAUACUUAAUAGAUAGGAUUUUUUAUUUGUGUUCUUGAAAAUUUGGUAUGUUUAUUUUGUAUAUAUAUAUAUUUUUAAUUUAUAGAAAUUAGGUCAUGUUUUCUAUCUCAUUCUUCAUUUUCUUUUAUUGACAUUACAUUUAAAAAUGAUACAUCCAUAUUUUUUAUUUUUAUGAUUACAUUUAGUUCAUUGACAUGAACUUCUUCAUAAUUCUCCACAUUGUAUCCAUGAUACCUUACUUAUACAGCCUUCUGAUGAUGGGGAGAAGAUUGGUUGCCUCCAAAUCCUUGACAUCAAAUAUGAUGUGGCAGUGAACAUUCCACCAUGUGUCUACUUAGGUACCUAUUUGAGAAUUUGUUUGAGUCUGUACCCAGGAGCAGAAUUUCUGAGUUAAGUGGUAUAUACAUAUUCAAUUAAGUUCCCAAAGAGUGCUCUCUAGAAUGGUCACACAAGCCUUUAUUCCCAACAGUAGUGCAUCACAGCUCCUAUCUUCUACAGUUCUGCCAACAAGUCAUUAUUCUAAGAAAUUCCUAAACAAAAGGCAACUGUUUAAACAAAAUGAGAGUAUAUGUAUCAGAAAUACAGAUGUUUAAUUCACAAUCCUUUUUUAAUUUGAAGCAAUAAAUACCUGAAAAUACCUUAUAAAAGAUAAACUCACUAACUGCAACAUGAGAAUUUCUAUCAAUUCAAAUUAUGCUAUUUAUUCUAGAUAUUGAGGGGCAGACUUAAUCAUUUAUGUUUACAUAGGUGUAGAGGAGUGGGAAAAUGUAAACAAGAUGACACAGAGAAGAUCCUAGAGUUAUAAUACAGCAAUAAGAAAUAUUUUGAUGUAAUGAUUAUUCAAAGUCAUAUUGUUAAACUGUGUCACACCCAAAACCAACAGCACACUGUAUACACUGUAUGUUAGCCAACUUUACAGUAAAUUAUAUUAAAAAAAAAUAGAAUACUUUAAGAAAUGAAAAAAAAAUUAAUAAAAUUAAUUUUAAGUGACCAAACAUCGUUUUCUGUGACACAAAUUGUCUUAUCUUUGUCUUUAAAAAUGUUGGUUUAGGGGCACCGGGAUGGCUCAGUUCAUUGGGUGGCUGACUACACCUUAGGUCAUGAUCUUGCUACAAGUUCGAGCCCUGCAUUGGGCUCGGUCCUGAGUGCUCAGAGCCUGGAGCCUGCUUCCAAUUCUGUGUCUCCCUCUCUCUCUGCCCCUUCCCUGCUUGCUCUUUAUCUCUGUCUCUCUGUCUCUCAAAAAUAAUAAACAAUAAAAAAAUUUUAAUGUUAUUUUAUAACAUAAAAUAUUAUACUUAUUACCAUAUUUGAUAGUUAUUUUCUUUGCCUGUCCACUUUGACAAAUUUAGGUUUGUAUCAGUCCAUAAUUUAUUCUUAGAAAUUGUCUAAAAAGAUAUGAGGGAUUUUUUUAAAAAUUGGGAUUAUAGUUCAAAAAGUGUUAUGAUAAAUAAAAAAGUAACUAGAAAAAUAUUUAUAUGCUAAGUGAAUUUGGGGAAAACUGCACACUAACUGAUUGAAAACAUUGAAUUAUAAAACAAGUAGGCUUUGGCUGGAUAACAUUGGUUUAAGUUUAUUAACUGUGAUUCUAAGAAAAAUCAGAAAAACUGUCUAUAUGAUACAAAUAUUUUCACUUUUCUUCUUGUUUAAUUAGAAGUUUCUUGGGUUAAUGUAAAAUGGGGAAAUCAGAUAAUAUGACUAUGAAUGGCUAAGUAGAAAUGUGGAUAUGGUGCUCUUUUAAAUUAUUAAAUCUCUAGAGAAGCACAUCAAUAUGAAAUAUAUGCUAAUGAUGAAGAAAACAACAUGCCAUAAAUAUACCAGUGAAUAUUUUAGGGAAAUGGCAUACUGUGGAAUAUAGAACUACACUGCCAUAGCUCCUUUAUCAGGGCAUUUGAGAAUCAAAGGGACAGGAGGUGAUGCCUCUAAUCUGUAUAAGAUCUCAAAGAGAAAUGUCUCAAGAUUCUUCUGUUUUAUUUUCCUUAAUCACUCACCACAGAAUAUUAUUCCAUAUACUUGGCAACAUUAAUAAGUCUUCUCUUCUGACCAGCAUAAUUAUCCCCACUGAUUCUGCUCUUUGAAAGGGCUCAAGAAGUGGAUGCUGGAUAGUGACCAAAGAAGGCUGUCUUUGGGAAGUAACCAACUCUACCAACUAGUGCUUAAUGAAGCUGAAGGGCUUAGCAUGGAUGCCGUUUACAUAGCUUCAUGCUUUCAACAAGGCCAAACCAAUAUUUUGCUUCAUGAACAAACUUCUGAAGUUGUAUACAAUAUUUUUGGAACCUUCUUUUUCUCCACUGAAGAACUCUGUAAGGUUCAUUUUUAAUACUUCUCCCCUGUCCUCCCCCCUACACACAAAAAAGUAAAACUACAGGAAGAAAAGAUUCUUAAUGCACUCACUGUAAGUUCUGAGUCCUCCCCUCUCACACACACUUUCACAUGUGUAUAGUUAUCCCCCAAGAUGCUUCAACAAUUGAGAUCAUUUUAGCAUGUUCUUCAAUUUUUCUGAACUCUUCACAAAAAUGUUUCUUGAUUAUUCUCAGUCUUUAGUAACAUAGUAGUCUAUAAAGUAUUAUGCAUCACAGUAUUGUAUAGAAUAGCAAUAUAACAAUAAAAGGAGAAUGUAAUAUGGAAUCAAAGAAUUGUUUAUAAAUUGUGACAUUUCCUCACAAAGAAUGCUAUGUAGCCAUUAAAUAUUUUUAAAUGCUCAAUUGCCAUUCCUUAUCUAUCAUUUCUAACAUGGGAUUUCACAGUAUGCUGAAAGUUAUAAACAGUAUAAAUACAUAUGGUCAUUUACUGUGAUUGUAUAUAAAUAUAUUUCUAUGCAUAGAUAAAGCCUUGGUAAAUAUGUAACAAAAGUAUUUACAGUGGUUAUUUCUGGACUGACUACUAGAUAAAUUUUUUUUCUUUCCCUAUUAGACUUUCCAAUAUGCCUGAAUUUUGUGCAAUAAUAUUACUUUUAUAAUACAAAGAAAACUACUUUUUAAAUGUUAACAUUAAAAUAUUUUAUUUUUUUAUUUUACUUCGAAAUAUAAUUUAUUG